rnacentral:tRNA from 1 species
GCCGAAGUGGCGGAAUUGGUAGACGCGCAUGGUUCAGGGUCAUGUAGGCUCAGCCUGUGGGAGUUCGACUCUCCCCUUCGGCACCA